GUGGCGCUAAUUUGCACACUACACUGAUUCCUUACCGCUCUUUGGAAAAACACAGAAGAAGAAAAGUUUGAACAACGCAGCAAGGCGGGAAGCAGCAGACAGUAGGGUUGCAGAAACUACCUACGCAGCAGCAAUCAGGCUCACUGGACUUACUUUUCAAGAAGUUAAGGAAGAUAACUGGAGAUGUGAUAACGAUACCAGAAGACUGAGAAGAAACUGCCCCUCAUUAGAAAGAUGAUGGAGACCACAUUUCCCCUACACCGACAGACCAUAGUGAUGUCCUGCCCACCAGUGAACGACCUCAUGGACCUCUGGCCUGCUCUCAAAAUAGAGUCUGAGUUGUAUGCAGAGUUCCAGCGGAUUACAAAUCAGAACCUGCCCAACACGUGCUAUGCUGAGCUUGACCGCUAUCUUCCUCGACUGAUGACCUUAUUCAGACGGAAGGCAUCAAAAACUGGGAAGACAGCAGAUGCUCUGGCUGAAAUUUUAAAA